GAAUGCUGACAUAAGUAACGAUAAAGCGGGUGAAAAGCCCGCUCGCCGGAAGACCAAGGGUUCCUGUCCAACGUUAAUCGGGGCAGGGUGAGUCGACCCCUAAGGCGAGGCCGAAAGGCGUAGUCGAUGGGAAACGGGUUAAUAUUCCCGUACUUGGUGUUACUGCGAAGGGGGGACGGAGAAGGCUAUGUUGGCCGGGCGACGGUUGUCCCGGUUUAAGCGUGUAGGCUGGUUUUCCAGGCAAAUCCGGAAAAUCAAGGCUGAGGCGUGAUGACGAGGCACUACGGUGCUGAAGCAACAAAUGCCCUGCUUCCAGGAAAAGCCUCUAAGCAUCAGGUAACAUCAAAUCGUACCCCAAACCGACACAGGUGGUCAGGUAGAGAAUACCAAGGCGCUUGAGAGAACUCGGGUGAAGGAACUAGGCAAAAUGGUGCCGUAACUUCGGGAGAAGGCACGCUGACACGUAGGUGAAGUGAUUUACUCAUGGAGCUGAAGUCAGUCGAAGAUACCAGCUGGCUGCAACUGUUUAUUAAAAACACAGCACUGUGCAAACACGAAAGUGGACGUAUACGGUGUGACGCCUGCCCGGUGCCGGAAGGUUAAUUGAUGGGGUCAGCGCAAGCGAAGCUCCUGAUCGAAGCCCCGGUAAACGGCGGCCGUAACUAUAACGGUCCUAAGGUAGCGAAAUUCCUUGUCGGGUAAGUUCCGACCUGCACGAAUGGCGUAAUGAUGGCCAGGCUGUCUCCACCCGAGACUCAGUGAAAUUGAACUCGCUGUGAAGAUGCAGUGUACCCGCGGCAAGACGGAAAGACCCCGUGAACCUUUACUAUAGCUUGACACUGAACAUUGAGCCUUGAUGUGUAGGAUAGGUGGGAGGCUUUGAAGUGUGGACGCCAGUCUGCAUGGAGCCGACCUUGAAAUACCACCCUUUAAUGUUUGAUGUUCUAACGUGGACCCGUAAUCCGGGUUGCGGACAGUGUCUGGUGGGUAGUUUGACUGGGGCGGUCUCCUCCUAAAGAGUAACGGAGGAGCACGAAGGUUGGCUAAUCCUGGUCGGACAUCAGGAGGUUAGUGCAAUGGCAUAAGCCAGCUUGACUGCGAGCGUGACGGCGCGAGCAGGUGCGAAAGCAGGUCAUAGUGAUCCGGUGGUUCUGAAUGGAAGGGCCAUCGCUCAACGGAUAAAAGGUACUCCGGGGAUAACAGGCUGAUACCGCCCAAGAGUUCAUAUCGACGGCGGUGUUUGGCACCUCGAUGUCGGCUCAUCACAUCCUGGGGCUGAAGUAGGUCCCAAGGGUAUGGCUGUUCGCCAUUUAAAGUGGUACGCGAGCUGGGUUUAGAACGUCGUGAGACAGUUCGGUCCCUAUCUGCCGUGGGCGCUGGAGAACUGAGGGGGGCUGCUCCUAGUACGAGAGGACCGGAGUGGACGCAUCACUGGUGUUCGGGUUGUCAUGCCAAUGGCACUGCCCGGUAGCUAAAUGCGGAAGAGAUAAGUGCUGAAAGCAUCUAAGCACGAAACUUGCCCCGAGAUGAGUUCUCCCUGAGACUUAGAGUCUCCUGAAGGAACGUUGAAGACGACGACGUUGAUAGGCCGGGUGUGUAAGCGCAGCGAUGCGUUGAGCUAACCGGUACUAAUGAACCGUGAGGCUUAACCUUACAACGCCGAAG
rnacentral:rRNA from 2 species